rnacentral:rRNA from 1 species
GAUGAACGCUGGCGGCGUGCUUAACACAUGCAAGUCGAACGGGAUCCAUCAGGCUUUGCUUGGUGGUGAGAGUGGCGAACGGGUGAGUAAUGCGUGACCGACCUGCCCCAUACACCGGAAUAGCUCCUGGAAACGGGUGGUAAUGCCGGAUGCUCCAGUUGAUCGCAUGGUCUUCUGGGAAAGCUUUCGCGGUAUGGGAUGGGGUCGCGUCCUAUCAGCUUGACGGCGGGGUAACGGCCCACCGUGGCUUCGACGGGUAGCCGGCCUGAGAGGGCGACCGGCCACAUUGGGACUGAGAUACGGCCCAGACUCCUACGGGAGGCAGCAGUGGGGAAUAUUGCACAAUGGGCGCAAGCCUGAUGCAGCGACGCCGCGUGAGGGAUGGAGGCCUUCGGGUUGUAAACCUCUUUUAUCGGGGAGCAAGCGAGAGUGA